rnacentral:rRNA from 1 species
GAUGAACGCUGGCGGCGUGCCUAAUACAUGCAAGUCGAGCGGACGGACGCUAAGCUUGCUGGUCUGGCGUUAGCGGCGCGCGUGUGUGUAACGCGUGGAUAACCUACCUGUAAUACUGGGAUAAUUUCGGGAAACCGGAGCUUAUACCGGAGAAUCUUCUGCAGCGCAUGGUUCAAUAGUAAAAUACGGUCGUGCGGUCACUUAUAGAUGGAUCCACGCUGCAUGAGCUGGUUGGUAAGGUAACGGCUUACCAAGGCAACGAUGCAUAGCCGAACGGAGAGGGUGAUCGGCCACACGGGAACGGAGCCAGCGUCCAGACUACUGCGGGAGGCAGCAGUAGGGAACCUUCCGCAAUGGGCGAAAGCCUGACGCAGCAACCGCGCGUGAGUGAUGAAGGUCUUGGGAUCGUAAAACUCUGUUAUUAGGGAAGAACAUAUUUGUAAGUAGCUGUGCACAUCUUGACGGUACUUAAUCAGAAAGCCACGGCUAACUACGUG